rnacentral:rRNA from 1 species
UGGGGAAUAUUGGACAAUGGGCGAAAGCCUGAUCCAGCCAUGCCGCGUGUGUGAAGAAGGUCUUCGGAUUGUAAAGCACUUUAAGUUGGGAGGAAGGGCAGUAAGCGAAUACCUUGCUGUUUUGACGUUACCGACAGAAUAAGCACCGGCUAACUCUGUGCCAGCAGCCGCGGUAAUACAGAGGGUGCAAGCGUUAAUCGGAAUUACUGGGCGUAAAGCGCGCGUAGGUGGUUCGUUAAGUUGAAUGUGAAAGCCCCGGGCUCAACCUGGGAACUGCAUCCAAAACUGGCGAGCUAGAGUAGGGCAGAGGGUGGUGGAAUUUCCUGUGUAACGGUGAAAUGCGUAGAUAUAGGCAGGAACACCAGUGGCGAAGGCGACCACCUGGGCUCAUACUGACACUGAGGUGCGAAAGCGUGGGGAGCAAACAGG